UACAGAGGUCUCAAGCGUUGUUCGGAUUCAUUGGGCGUAAAGGGUGCGUAGGCGGCGCGGUAAGUCGGGUGUGAAAUCUCGGGGCUUAACUCGGAAAGGUCAACUGAUACUGUGCGACUAGAGUGCGGAAGGGGCAACUGGAAUUCUCGGUGUAGCGGUGAAAUGCGUAGAUAUCGAGAGGAACACCGGCGGCGAAGGCGGGUUGCUGGGCCGACACUGACGCUGAUGCGCGAAAGCCAGGGGAGCGAACGGG
rnacentral:rRNA from 1 species